UCUGUUGGGGGCGGGCAGAGGCGUCGGCGCUGCCCCGGCGAGGGGCCGAGCCGGCGGGGCGCGCAGAAGCCGGCCCGAGCCCGGGCCCGAGCGCGGCUCCGCUCGGCUCCUCUGCGGCUCCCGCCGGGCCCUUCAGCCCCGGCCGGCCCCGGCGCGGCAGGGCACGAUGGCGCCCGGGCUGGGGCCGUGGCUCCUGGCCUUGUCCUUGGCCGCGGGGCCGGCAGGGCUGUGGGCGCAGCUGAGGCUGGUGGAGGACGGCGGAGGGCUGCGAGCGCCCGGGGACACCGUGCGCCUCUCCUGCCGCGGAUCCGGCUUCAACUUCGGGCGUUACGCAAUUAGGUGGUACCGUCAGGCAGCCGGCGGCAGUGUCGAGUGGGUGUCCUUCAUCAGCUGGGAUUCGGGCGCUACGAAGCUGUACGGGGCAGGAGUGAAGGGUCGAGCCGUGCUGUCCCGGGACAAUUCCCAGUCCGAGUCAUUUCUGUCCCUGCGGGACCUGCAGCCCCGGGACUCUGCCCGCUACUUCUGCGCUGUUGCACGGGGACAGGAAAUCCAGCUGAGCUUUAACACAAACCUCCUGCCAGGGUCCUAGCUAUGGGCCUUGCAGCUGGAAAGGAGACUGUUCUCACAGCUGUUCAGUGCUGCUCCCGGAGAGAUGUGUCAUUACAGCAUACAGUUUACAAACGUUUGAUUCUGACAGGGACGUUCUCAUUGGUUUUGUGCCCUUCUGCGCUAGCCCUUCUGCUUGCCUUCUUCCCAUGUCUCACACCAAUCCUCCCUCCUCUCACACUCUGACACCUCUUCACCUUUGGCAACAAGUUUUGCUGUUUCCUGCAGUUCCCAAUAGGACAGCUGCCCAGUGAUGGCCCAGCUGGUGAGAUGUGUGAAUAGCCCUGUGCUGGUUUUGGGCAGGGCUCAGGUCAACUCAGUCCAGCCAGGAGUUUUGCUCCCUUAGGAGUGAGCAGAGCUAACGGGGAAAGUAGGGACGGUCACUUGGGAGCUCACUGGAGAAAGGGGAAGUCUGUGCUUCUCUCCCUGAUCUGAGACUGUAGCAGGAGCAAGAGCUUGUGAGCAUGUGGGCAUGCAGCUGCUGGAGAUCACAAGCAGUAGCCCAGGGAAGUGGCAGAGUAAAUGAGGCAGUUGCUUGAGCUGUUCUUGCCUGUUCAUCCGUGUCUCCUGGGGUUGCAGGUGCCCUUUCUCAGGUGCAGAUGGAGGCUAUGGGCCCCAGGGUAGGGAAGGUCUCAGGGUCUCUCACACUUACAUGCCACAUCUCUGGUGUACCCAUCACCGACAGCAACUACGCUUGGGACUGGAUCCGGCAGACUCCUGGCAGAGACUUGCAGCAUAUAGUGUUGCAGUACCCUUUCACGGGACUCCAGCACAUUGCUUCAUCCUUGCUUGAAUCUCAGGCAGGGCCAGGGCAGAAAAGGAAGGAGGGGCUUUAAAUCCAGCCAGGUCUUUUGUGGUUGGCUGCAGGAAGGUUUCUGAGGAAUAGUUUGGGCUGGCUUGCCCAGAAAGGGGCACAGCAGUGCUGCAGUAGCAGCAGGAGCCACAGAGUCUCUCCCAAGCACACACAAAACCCAUCUGAGUGUGCUGUUAACCU